GUCUGCGUAGCUUACACCUAAAAGCAUGGCACUGAAGAUGCUAAGACGGAUGCCCUGCACCCGCGGACA
rnacentral:tRNA from 1 species